UGUAAAAUGAAAGUUUAUUAGGUAUUUAGAGAAUUUGCUGAGCAUUGAUUAAAACAAAAGGACCUCAUCCACUCAGCUGAAGACUUGACAAAAACAAAAAGGCUCUGAGAAAGAGUAUUCAUCCUGCUUCAUGAUCGUCAAACUGGGAAAUUGACUUUUCCUAGGUUCUCAAGCCUGCCAGCCUUUGAAUGGAACUAUACCAUUGGCUUUCCUGGCUCUCCAAUUUGCUGACACACUCUGCAGAUCAUUGGACUUGCCAGCCUCCAUAAUCGUAAAUCCUCCAUCCAAGCACCUCAGUAAUGUGCCAAAGUAUGACGAUGACUUCACACCUCAGCUAAUUCACAUCUGCAAGGAGAGAAAACAAUUUGCAACUGAAUCCAGCCUCACUAAAUACUAACAAAUCCUACUUGCUUGUCAGCC
rnacentral:lncRNA from 1 species